AGUGAACGCUGGCGGUAGGCCUAACACAUGCAAGUCGAACGGCAGCACAGUAAGAGCUUGCUCUUACGGGUGGCGAGUGGCGGACGGGUGAGGAAUACACCGGAAUCUACUUUUUCGUGGGGGAUAACGUAGGGAAACUUACGCUAAUACCGCAUACGACCUACGGGGGAAAGCAGGCGAUCUUCGGACCUUGCGCGAUUGAAUGAGCCGAUGUCGGAUUAGCUAGUUGGCGGGGUACAGGCCCACCAAGGCGACGAUCCGUAGCUGGUCUGAGAGGAUGUUCCGCCACACUGGGACUGAGACACGGUCCAGAGUCCGACGGGAGGCAGCAGUGGGGAAUAGUGGUCAAUGGGGCAAAGCCUGUGCCAGCCAUAGCGGGUUGGUGAUGAAGCUCUUCUGGUUGUAAAGUCGAGCAGUGGGGAAAGAAAAGCAUCUGGUUAAUACCCCGCGGUUCUGACGGUACGCAAAGAAUAAGCACCGGCUAACUUCGUG
rnacentral:rRNA from 1 species